ACACAAAAAAAAAACAAAUAUAAGCUGCGGGACGGGGUGUGUUAAAAGUCGGAAGACGCAUUGGCAGGGGGAGGGCAGAGGCAGGGCCGAGUGAAGCAGAAGCAAAGCUGCGGGACAGGGUGGGUUUAGCCACUGGAAAUUAAUUUCUCCAUUGUGGCUAUAAUAAUGAUCCGAUCGGAUCCCACUUUGGUGAUCUGAUAGAUAUGGCCAUUUCCUACGGAAUGGCGUUACUUUUCUUUUAUCUUCAAAACUGUAGAUUUGGGAGGUUUUCGCCCUUUUGCGGGGGUGGAAGGGGGCGUGGCUCAUUUUUUAAAUACACUGAUUUCAGUGUGAGCAUACAGCAGUCCGGAGUCAAAAUUUAGUGGCUCUAGCUCUUAUAGUCUCUGAGAACUAGCCGACAAACAAGACGGACAGACAGACAUGGCUCUAUCGACUCGUCUAUUGAUGCUGAUCAAGAAUAUAU
rnacentral:lncRNA from 1 species